CAUGUCUGUGAUGGCCCCCUCCCUCUUCUGCAAUUAUUUCCAAGUCACACCUGCCAAGCUGUAGGGAAGCAUUCCCAUUGUUUGUGGGUGAGAACACAGUCAGUCAGCUAUGCAUCGCACUCGUAAAACUCCAGAGGGACUGGGGCACACAGAUGUAAGCUGAACAGAUCUCUCUAGGAAGAGGUGGUAUCAUUCUUCUGCAAGAUGAAUAGUGAAAAAGUUAAUCUCAGGAUUGAGGACAGUCUCCUAAAAGGGCCACUUAAUAGACUGUUGUACUUUUAAAAUGGCAUUAUCUUUGUUUUGUUUGCUUAAACUUAUUAACACUAAGUUUAAUAAUAAACUCUCUGGGACCCUUAGAGUUGCUACCCUAUAAAAAUGCAAAUGAUUUUUACAAACAAUAAGCCUUUCAAAACUUUUGUA